ACAAUUCAAACAGAUAGCUGCUACAUAUAAUAGCUCAAUUUAAAUGGUUCGAACAUCUCUGCUAAAUAGAACAUAAUACUAAUGGUUCUAACAGUCCAGCACAUCAACAACUCCAAUCUCGGCAGCACUUUUUGAGCCACGACAACCUUCCUUGAAUUGUCGACAUUUUCUUGAAAACCGUUCGGUUGUACUUUUGGGCAAACAACAUAGUUGCCACAUAGAACUCCUCUGACUUCUCAUCUAGUCCACACUCCUUUACUA
rnacentral:lncRNA from 1 species